UGGGGAAUAUUGCACAAUGGGCGCAAGCCUGAUGCAGCCAUGCCGCGUGUAUGAAGAAGGCCUUCGGGUUGUAAAGUACUUUCAGCUGGGAGGAAGGGAGUAAAGUUAAUACCUUUGCUCAUUGACGUUACCCGCAGAAGAAGCACCGGCUAACUCCGUGCCAGCAGCCGCGGUAAUACGGAGGGUGCAAGCGUUAAUCGGAAUUACUGGGCGUAAAGCGCACGCAGGCGGUCUGUCAAGUCGGAUGUGAAAUCCCCGGGCUCAACCUGGGAACUGCAUUCGAAACUGGCAGGCUAGAGUCUUGUAGAGGGGGGUAGAAUUCCAGGUGUAGCGGUGAAAUGCGUAGAGAUCUGGAGGAAUACCGGUGGCGAAGGCGGCCCCCUGGACAAAGACUGACGCUCAGGUGCGAAAGCGUGGGGAGCAAACAGG
rnacentral:rRNA from 1 species